GCAAUAGCUCAGCUGGAUAGAGCAACGGUCUUCUAAACCGUAGGUCGAGAGUUCGAAUCUCUCUUGC
rnacentral:tRNA from 5 species